GAAUUAACCACCCUGGCGU
rnacentral:misc_RNA from 1 species